ACAAUGGAGAGUUUGAUCCUGGCUCAGGAUGAACGCUAGCUACAGGCUUAACACAUGCAAGUCGAGGGGAAACGAUAUUGGAAGCUUGCUUCCGAUAGGCGUCGACCGGCGCACGGGUGAGUAACGCGUAUCCAACCUGCCCACCACUUGGGGAUAACCUUGCGAAAGUAAGACUAAUACCCAAUGACGUCUCUAGAAGACAUCUGAAAGAGAUUAAAGAUUUAUCGGUGAUGGAUGGGGAUGCGUCUGAUUAGCUUGUUGGCGGGGUAACGGCCCACCAAGGCAACGAUCAGUAGGGGUUCUGAGAGGAAGGUCCCCCACAUUGGAACUGAGACACGGUCCAAACUCCUACGGGAGGCAGCAGUGAGGAAUAUUGGUCA
rnacentral:rRNA from 1 species